GAUGAACGCUGGCGGCGUGCCUAAUACAUGCAAGUCGAGCGAACAGACGAGGAGCUUGCUCCUCUGACGUUAGCGGCGGACGGGUGAGUAACACGUGGAUAACCUACCUAUAAGACUGGGAUAACUUCGGGAAACCGGAGCUAAUACCGGAUAAUAUAUUGAACCGCAUGGUUCAAUAGUGAAAGACGGUUUUGCUGUCACUUAUAGACGGAUCCGCGCCGCAUUAGCUAGUUGGUAAGGUAACGGCUUACCAAGGCAACGAUGCGUAGCCGACCUGAGAGGGUGAUCGGCCACACUGGAACUGAGACACGGUCCAGACUCCUACGGGAGGCAGCAGUAGGGAAUCUUCCGCAAUGGGCGAAAGCUUGACGGAGCAACGCCGCGUGAGUGAUGAAGGUCUUCGGAUCGUAAAACUCUGUUAUUAGGGAAGAACAAAUGUGUAAGUAACUAUGCACGUCUAGACGGUACCUAAUCAGAAAGCCACGGCUAACUACGUG
rnacentral:rRNA from 1 species